UACGUAGGGUGCGAGCGUUAAUCGGAAUUACUGGGCGUAAAGCGUGCGCAGGCGGUUUUGUAAGUCAGAUGUGAAAGCCCCGGGCUCAACCUGGGAAUUGCAUUUGAAACUACAAGGCUAGAGUGUGUCAGAGGGGGGUAGAAUUCCACGUGUAGCAGUGAAAUGCGUAGAGAUGUGGAGGAAUACCGAUGGCGAAGGCGGCAUCCUGGACCGACACUGACGCUGAGGAGCGAAAGCCAGGGGAGCAAACGGG
rnacentral:rRNA from 1 species